rnacentral:misc_RNA from 1 species
UUUCCGUAGGUGAACCUGCGGAAGGAUCAUUCAUAAUAAGUGUUUUACUGCACUUUUUAAAAAUAGUACUCACCUUGUGUGCAAUGUUGUGUUUCUUUUCGGAGAAACACCUACACCAACCUAUAACCUUGAACCACUUUGUCUGAAAAACUAUUAUGAAUACUUAAUUCAAAAUACAACUUUCAACAACGGAUCUCUUGGCUCUCGCGUCGAUGAAGAACGCAGC